AUUGAACGCUGGCGGCAGGCCUAACACAUGCAAGUCGAGCGGAUGAAGGGAGCUUGCUCCUGGAUUCAGCGGCGGACGGGUGAGUAAUGCCUAGGAAUCUGCCUGGUAGUGGGGGAUAACGUCCGGAAACGGGCGCUAAUACCGCAUCCGUCCUGAGGGAGAAAGUGGGGGAUCUUCGGACCUCACGCUAUCAGAUGAGCCUAGGUCGGAUUAGCUAGUUGGUGGGGUAAAGGCCUACCAAGGCGACGAUCCGUAACUGGUCUGAGAGGAUGAUCAGUCACACUGGAACUGAGACACGGUCCAGACUCCUACGGGAGGCAGCAGUAGGGAAUCUUGGACAAUGGGCGAAAGCCUGAUCCAGCCAUGCCGCGUGUGUGAAGAAGGUCUUCGGAUUGUAAAGCACUUUAAGUUGGGAGGAAGGGCAGUAAGUUAAUACCUUGCUGUUUUGACGUUACCAACAGAAUAAGCACCGGCUAACUUCGUG
rnacentral:rRNA from 1 species